GACGAACGCUGGCGGCGUGCUUAACACAUGCAAGUCGAGCGGUAAGGCCCUUUCGGGGGUACACGAGCGGCGAACGGGUGAGUAACACGUGGGUGACCUGCCCUCAGCUCUGGGAUAAGCCUGGGAAACCGGGCCUAAUACUGGAUAUGACUCCAUGACGCAUGUUGUGGGGUGGAAAGCCUUGUGCGGCUGAGGAUGGGCCCGCGGCCUAUCAGCUUGUUGGUGGGGUGANGGCCUACCAAGGCGACGACGGGUAGCCGGCCUGAGAGGGCGACCGGCCACACUGGGACUGAGACACGGCCCAGACUCCUACGGGAGGCAGCAGUGGGGAAGUCUUGCGCAAUGGGCGAAAGCCUGACGCAGCGACGCCGCGUGAGGGAUGACGGCCU
rnacentral:rRNA from 1 species